GACGAACGCUGGCGGCGUGCUUAACACAUGCAAGUCGAACGGAAAGGCCCUGCUUUUGUGGGGUGCUCGAGUGGCGAACGGGUGAGUAACACGUGAGUAACCUGCCCUUGACUUUGGGAUAACUUCAGGAAACUGGGGCUAAUACCGGAUAGGAGCUCCUGCUGCAUGGUGGGGGUUGGAAAGUUUCGGCGGUUGGGGAUGGACUCGCGGCUUAUCAGCUUGUUGGUGGGGUAGUGGCUUACCAAGGCUUUGACGGGUAGCCGGCCUGAGAGGGUGACCGGCCACAUUGGGACUGAGAUACGGUCCAGACUCCUACGGGAGGCAGCAGUGGGGAAUAUUGCACAAUGGGCGGGAGCCUGAUGCAGCAACGCCGCGUGCGGGAUGACGGCCUUCGGGUUGUAAACCGCUUUCGCCUGUGACGAAGCGUGAGUGACGGUAAUGGGUAAAGAAGCACCGGCUAACUACGUG
rnacentral:rRNA from 1 species